UGCCGGCGUAGACGACGAUCGCGGUCUGCGCGUCGUUGCGCGUGCGAAGCAGGUCGAGCAGCUUGCGCCGGGCCUGUUCCAGGCGGGUCGGCGACAG
rnacentral:tRNA from 4 species